CCCUACGGGACGCAGCAGUGGGGGAUAUUGCACAAUGGGGGAAACCCUGAUGCAGCGACGCCGCGUGAGUGAAGGAGUAUUUCGGUACGUAAAGCUCUAUCAGCAGGGAAGAAUAAUGACGGUACCUGACUAAGAAGCCCCGGCUAACUACGUGCCAGCAGCCGCGGUAAUACGUAGGGGGCAGGCGUUAUCCGGAUUUACUGGGUGUAAAGGGAGCGUAGACGGUGCGCCAAGUCUGGAGUGAAAUGCCGCAGCUUAACUGCGGAACUGCUUUGGAAACUGGCGAACUAGAGUGCGGGAGGGGG
rnacentral:rRNA from 1 species